CAGUCGCCGCGGUAAUACGGAGGGUGCAAGCGUCAAUCGGAAUUACUGGGCGUAAAGCGCACGCAGGCGGUCUGUCAAGUCAGAUGUGAAAUCCCCGGGCUUAACCUGGGAACUGCAUUUGAAACUGGCAGGCUAGAGUCUUGUAGAGGGGGGUAGAAUUCCAGGUGUAGCGGUGAAAUGCGUAGAGAUCUGGAGGAAUACCGGUGGCGAAGGCGGCCCCCUGGACAAAGACUGACGCUCAGGUGCGAAAGCGUGGGGAGCAAACAGGAUUAGAUACCCCAGUAGUCCCUGUCUCUUAUAC
rnacentral:rRNA from 1 species